CAAGCCGCGUGAGGGAAGAAGGUACAGCGUAUCGUAAACCUCUUUUGUCAGGGAACAAAGGCGGGGACUAGUCCCCGGAUGAGGGUACCUGAAGAAAAAGCAUCGGCUAACUCCGUGCCAGCAGCCGCGGUAAUACGGAGGAUGCGAGCGUUAUCCGGAUUUAUUGGGUUUAAAGGGUGCGCAGGCGGCCUGUUAAGUCAGCGGUAAAAGCCCGGGGCUCAACCCCGGCGAGCCGUUGAAACUGGCGGGCUGGAGUUGGAGAGAAGUACGCGGAAUGCGCGGUGUAGCGGUGAAAUGCUUAGAUAUCGCGCAGAACCCCGAUUGCGAAGGCAGCGUACCGGCUCCACACUGACGCUGAGGCACGAAAGCGUGGGUAUCGAACAGGAUUAGAUACCCUGGUAGUCCACGCAGUAAACGAUGAAUGCUUGCUGUCCGGGCAGAGAUAUGCCUGG
rnacentral:rRNA from 1 species